rnacentral:rRNA from 1 species
GAUGAACGCUGGCGGCGUGCUUAACACAUGCAAGUCGAACGAAGCAUUUAGAACAGAUUAUUUCGGUAUGAAGUUCUUUAUGACUGAGUGGCGGACGGGUGAGUAACGCGUGGGUAACCUGCCUUGUACUGGGGGAUAGCAGCUGGAAACGGCUGGUAAUACCGCAUAAGCGCACAAUGUUGCAUGACAUGGUGUGAAAAACUCCGGUGGUAAAAGAUGGACCCGCGUCUGAUUAGCUAGUUGGUGAGAUAACAGCCCACCAAGGCGACGAGCAGUGGCCGACCUGGGAGGGUGACCGGCCACAUUGGGACUGAGACACGGCCCAGACUCCUACGGGAGGCAGCAGUGGGGAAUAUUGCACAAUGGAGGAAACUCUGAUGCAGCGACGCCGCGUGAGUGAAGAAGUAAUUCGUUAUGUAAAGCUCUAUCAGCAGGGAAGAUAGUGACGGUACCUGACUAAGAAGCUCCGGCUAAAUACGUGCCAGCCGCCGCUGUAA